rnacentral:rRNA from 1 species
GGAGGGUGCAAGCGUUGUUCGGAAUUACUGGGCGUAAAGCGCGUGUAGGCGGUUUCUUAUGUCGGGUGUGAAAGCCCUGGGCCCAACCCAGGAAGUGCGCUCGAAACUGAUUAACUUGAGUACGAUAGAGGAGGACGGAAUUCCCAGUGUAGAGGUGAAAUUCGUAGAUAUUGGGAAGAACACCGGUGGCGAAGGCGGUUCUCUGGAUCGAUACUGACGCUGAGACGCGAAAGCGUGGGGAGCAAACAGGAUUAGAUACCCUGGUAGUCCACGCCGUAAACGAUGGAUACUAGUUGUUGGGUAGCUUUUUAAAACCUCUCAGUGACGACGCUAACGCAUUAAGUAUCCCGCCUGGGGAGUACGGCCGCAAGGUUA